UUAUCUCAAAAUUGUAUGAUAUUGGAACGUUUGCCUACGUUUGCCCCUAGGAGCGCUGGUCCAACUGCAUACAAAUUUCAGUUA
rnacentral:pre_miRNA from 1 species